AAAACAGGUUAUGUCUUCUCUCUCUCUCCUUCAUCCUCUCUCUUCCUUCCCCGUCACUCUCCUUCCCGUAUCCUUUCUCUCCUUAUUCUGUUUCAGGCAACAGCGCCGCCUUCCACUUGUCACCCAAGACCGUCAAAUACCUCCAUAAUCCUCUUCCCAUCCUCCUUCCGAUCCUCAAGUUAGUUUCUACAAAUUCGUAGCCAAAUUUCUUCAAUUUCAGAUCUAAGAAACAUAUGAUUUUGUUCGGGUUUAGUGUGUUUUGCAGGUGUGAGAGCGGCGUACGGGACGACGAAGAGAGGAGUAGCAGUGGCGUUGAUGGGUGAUGAGGCCCGAGCUGGUGAUGAAGCCGAUCGUUUCUCUAGACGAUUUGUGAUGUUGUCAUUAUCCUUCUGAAAAUGACCAUCAGUAUGGUAACAACCAUUAAUAAGAGAGGAAUUACUUCUGAACAUAAUUUCAGUGAUAACUCUACUACACCAGUCACCAGCAUUAACUCGUCCUCGAGCGAUAAUCUGUGCCUGCACCCCUGAUGAAAACUUUGCGCCUGAUAGGAUAAAAAGAAGUUUAGUGGUUCUCAAGGAAAGAAUUACUUGGCUUGAAGCUGCUGAUGAGGACCUUCGUCGGGAACUUCAUGAAUACCGCAGUAAGUGCAAUGGUGUAGAGCCAUGUGAAAGACCUCUCAAGGUGGUAGCCCCUGCUUUGUCAAAAGCAAUGGCCUAAAAAGGAGUUUGCAAAGUUUAGAAUUGGGUGACUAUCAAAUGGGUGAAGCGAUAACAGCAGGUGAUUCCCAGGAAAUUGAUGAAGUAGGAAUAGAGUGGGAGCACAACCUUAUGCAAAAUAUGAUGGACAGAGUUGCAUGAAUUGAAUAAAAUGUCUACAACAAAAAGAGUCGGAGAUGAAAUUUUUUGAAGGGUCCGACACUGUGGCACUCAAGCAGCAUUUUGGAAAGAAAAUUUUGGAACUAGAAGAUAAGAAAAGAGCUGUGUAGGUUCACUUAAAACCUUAAUAUUUGAUCUUCGUAUUCUUGAGAGAACCGAUAUUCACUUAAAACCUUUAUAAUUUUAAUUUUAUUUUUGUUGGGGAUAGAACAUGUAAAAUUCUAGUUUUUAUAUAUAAUGGUUGUGAAUAUCUUUGUAAAUUGUAAUAUUAGAUGCUUGUGGUUGUGGGCUGUUUUAAUUCUAUGAAAAAAAAUAAUUUUUUGUUUA